GGGGCAGGUGUUGACGGUGGUGUUGAAGCUGGAAGAAGGGGUGGGGCAGGUGGAGAAGGUGGUGCCACCCUCUUCCUUUUUGUGACAAGGCCGUCCUCUGUGACCUCGUCGUCCUCUUCCUCAUCCUCUUGGACAACUUGGGGGGCUUUCCGUUUUGGCCUCUUAAGGACCAGUUUCUUUCGUUGGGCGGGCGCAUUAGGCGGUGAUCGCCCCUGGAUAAUGGCCUUCUCGACCGCCGAGUUGGGAACCGUCUGGGAGCCGGUCGCCAACCCGUGGCUGCGGGCGAGCGUCUUUAGAUCGGCGAGCAUAUUCUUACCCAACAUGGUAUCUGCGUGAAAUGAAAGUGCAUAUGUUAGCUCAAAGGAAAAAGGGGUAAGUACACAAGAUAAUAAGACAGCAAAGCAGGUAUAUGCAGAAAAGAUAAAACCAAAGUCUUGUGUGUAUUGCACAAGACGCCCAGAAACAAUAUCAGAAGCAAUGUGAAGACAAGGGUGUAGCGUCCUAACCUAUUUGGAAUUCCAACUGGUCCUCAAAGAACUCGAAGGAAAUCAGGGUGGGGGUCAAGAAUGUUAUGUGGGCAUCCGCCACCCUCUUCCAGAAGAGACAAAGGUCUCUGUCCAAAGCUCCCAUGCUAUCAGGACUUCUGGGCCUCCUGAAGCAGCUCUUGGACUCUUUUUUCCCCUUGUCCACCCAGUACAAGGGGAAACCGUCGAGAAGGGAAGGGUCUUUGUCGUUUGCACGGACCUGGAUGAACUUCCCCUUCCA
rnacentral:lncRNA from 1 species